UCUUCCCUCUGGCGGCGUGCCUAAUACAUGCAAGUCGAGCGAACGGACGAGAAGCUUGCUUUUCUGAUGUUAGCGGCGGAUGGGUGAGUAACACGUGGAUAACCUACCUAUAAGACUGGGAUAACUUCGGGAAACCGGAGCUAAUACCGGAUAAUAUUUUGAACCGCAUGGUUCAAAAGUGAAAGACGGUCUUGCUGUCACUUAUAGAUGGAUCCGCGCUGCAUUAGCUAGUUGGUAAGGUAACGGCUUACCAAGGCAACGAUGCAUAGCCGACCUGAGAGGGUGAUCGGCCACACUGGAACUGAGACACGGUCCAGACUCCUACGGGAGGCAGCAGUAGGGAAUCUUCCGCAAUGGGCGAAAGCCUGACGGAGCAACGCCGCGUGAGUGAUGAAGGUCUUCGGAUCGUAAAACUCUGUUAUUAGGGAAGAACAUAUGUGUAAGUAACUGUGCACAUCUUGACGGUACCUAAUCAGAAAGCCACGGCUAACUACGUG
rnacentral:rRNA from 1 species